UACGUAGGGUGCAAGCGUUGUCCGGAAUUAUUGGGCGUAAAGAGCUCGUAGGCGGCUUGUCGCGUCGGCUGUGAAAACCUGGGGCUCAACCCCCGGGCCUGCAGCCGAUACGGGCAGCUAGAGUCCGGCAGGGGAGACUGGAAUUCCUGGUGUAGCGGUGAAAUGCGCAGAUAUCAGGAGGAACACCGGUGGCGAAGGCGGGUCUCUGGGCCGGAACUGACGCUGAGGAGCGAAAGCGUGGGGAGCGAACAGGG
rnacentral:rRNA from 1 species